rnacentral:rRNA from 1 species
GAUGAACGCUGGCGGCGUGCCUAAUACAUGCAAGUCGAGCGAACAGAUGAGGAGCUUGCUCCUCUGACGUUAGCGGCGGACGGGUGAGUAACACGUGGAUAACCUACCUUUAAGACUGGGAUAACUUCGGGAAACCGGAGCUGAUACCGGAUAAUAUAUUGAACCGCAUGGUUCAAUAGUGAAAGACGGUUUUGCUGUCACUUAUAGAUGGAUCCGCGCCGCAUUAUCUAGUUGGUAAGGUAACGGCUUACCAAGGCGACGAUGCGUAGCCGACCUGAGAGGGUGAUCGGCCACACUGGAACUGAGACACGGACCAGACUCCUACGGGAGGCAGCAGGAGGGAAUCUUCCGCAAUGGGCGAAAGCCUGACGGAGCAACGCCGCGUGAGUGAUGAAGGUCUUCGGAUCGUAAAACUCUGUUAUUAGGGAAGAACAAAUGUGUAAGUAACUAUGCACGUCUUGACGGUACCUAAUCAGAAAGCCACGGCUAACUACGUG